rnacentral:rRNA from 1 species
GAUGAACGCUGGCGGCGUGCCUAAUACAUGCAAGUCGAGCGAAUGGAUUAAGAGCUUGCUCUUAUGAAGUUAGCGGCGGACGGGUGAGUAACACGUGGGUAACCUGCCCAUAAGACUGGGAUAACUCCGGGAAACCGGGGCUAAUACCGGAUAACAUUUUGAACCGCAUGUUUCGAAAUUGAAAGGCGGCUUCGGCUGUCACUUAUGGAUGGACCCGCGUCGCAUUAGCUAGUUGGUGAGGUAACGGCUCACAAAGGCAACGACGCGUAGCCGACCUGAGAGGGUGAUCGGCCACACUGGGACUGAGACACGGCCCAGACUCCUACGGGAGGCAGCAGUAGGGAAUCUUCCGCAAUGGACGAAAGUCUGACGGAGCAACGCCGCGUGAGUGAUGAAGGCUUUCGGGUCGUAAAACUCUGUUGUUAGGGAAGAACAAGUGCUAGUUGAAUAAGCUGGCACCUUGACGGUACCUAACCAGAAAGCCACGGCUAACUACGUGCCAGCCGCCGCUGUAA